UUCUAAAUGGUCUCGUGUGAACAUGUGUGCUGCGCAGUGUAUCUCAUGGUUUUGUAGAUAAACUAACCCUGUGUAUAUUUUCUUCAGGACCGGUAGGAUCCAGGGUGUGUGUGCUGCAGGCUAUCUUUGUAUUUCUGGGAGUGCAGAUUUCACCCCCCAGGGAGCCAUAUUGAACCUGACCCAGUGCCAGUGGGGCAUGCAGUGUGCUGGACCAUGUCCUCCAGGUAUUUACACAGAUUUUCAUACAUUAUUCUGAAAUUAUUUUACGUGAGGGAUCAGAGGGUUCAUUUUUUCUUUAAACUAUUUAGAAUUCAUUGUUUGUAUUCUUUACUCCAGGUUUUUACUGUCCAAUGGGCACAGAGGAGGCAGAAUUGUGUCCUGCAAAUACUUUCAGAAGUUCCCCAGGAGGUGCCAGUGUACAGGACUGCUUACCCUGCCCACCUCAGCACUGGUGUAAACCUGGUACGGGCUAAGUGUGUUUAAGAGCUACUGUAAUCGGGUUUUUACAAGAUAAAAGUGCAGCAUAAAAUACACGAUUUAGCUGUGAAGACUCAAAGCAGGAACAACAUUGUAUAGUUUGAGCUCUGACAGAAAAUAUUUAGUGUUUUUAUGGGCCUAUUGAUAAAUAAGUAGAUACCGGCAGGAUCUAGUUAUUGGAUAACAGAUAAAACCUGAAGCUGAGAAUUAGAAACAUGCAUUAAGAAUAAAGACUAAUCCCGGGCUCGUGCAGCGUUAACAGACCAGAAAUGUCGCCUGUGCAAGUGCUUGAUGAGCCUUAUAUCGUUUGUUUGCAGGAGAGCCAGUCCUUCGCCUGUGUCCUGCCGGUCAUUACUGUGACGGUCUGCGUGGCAGUGACUUCAGUGGGGGGACUGGACCCAGACCAUGUCCUCUGUUCACCUAUCGAGCUUCACCUGGAGCAGGCAGCAAGGGUGACUGCCUGCCAUGCCCUCCCGGUUCACACUGUAACAGCACAGGGCUUACAGACUACUCAAACAGCCCAUGCCAACCUGGUUUCUGGUGCAGCGGGUCUGGACCCCCCAUCCUCUGCCCUGCGGGAACUAAAAGACCCCUUCCUGGGGCUUCCACACCAAGCCAGUGUGAACCCUGCACAGGGGGAACAUUCUGCCCAGAUCCCCGGGCUACAGGAAAGCCCAAUUUGGAGGGGAUCCCAUGCAGGCCAUCUUAUCAAUGCCCCGCGGGUAGGUUUAUCUACACAGUUUAUAAUGUUAGGAUAGUAUAUUACAUUCUGUAUAUGACUUUGGAUCUUUUACUUUGAUAAAUAUCUCUUUCCCUGGAUGCGGUACUGCAGUAAUGAGUUUUUGCUCAUCAUCCAGGUGCCGUCUCAGAGAGGCUGUGCAGCGCUGGCUCAUUCUGUGGCCCUCAGACUGCAGAGCCUCAAGUCUGUCCUGAAGGAUAUAUCUGUCCCGAGGGAUCCCAUUCAUACCAAACCCCCAAACAAAUGUGAGUGCAUGUCAUAAAAUCUGCCAUGUUUGUAGAUUGAGAUUGAAAUGAGAGGCUUUAGCUGUGAAAUAAGGGAAAGCCUAAUGGGUUUGGACUGAUUCUAAACCGCGUGGGCUGAAGUUUUAUAAAUAACCAUGUUACUGUGCCCCACAGCUGUCCAUUUCCCUACUACUGCCCGGCCAACAGCUCUGCCAUGAAGUCUUGUGAAGGGGGUUCCAUGCCUGUCAACACCAGCGGGCUCAGAGGAUCCAAAAGCAGCUGCUGUGGUGUGUGUGAUGGAGGCACCUAUCGUCCGUAUCUCUCCCCCAUCCAACACUGCCUUCCAUGUCCGCCAGGAUACUUCUGCCCCUCGGGUACUUCAAAUCAUUCCACAUUUAACCCCAAGAUUUGUUAUUUCAUGACUAACUAUAAAUAAAAUAUGACUUUAUUUUAUUCAAACAGGUACAGACCACUACAAGAGUAACCCUUGCCCCCUUGGGUAUGUCUGUCUUAUGGGAUCCACCAAACCAAUGCCCUGCCCCCCCGGCUCCUUCGGUAACCUCACUAAUAGUGAGUCACUGAGCAACUGUCACCCAUGUCCAGCCGGCACCUUCAACCACCUGGCUGCUCAGAAGGCCUGCUUUCCCUGUGGCAGCUCCUCCACCUCCCCAUCAGGUUGGGUCCCAUCAGAUAUCUAAAUUCAUGUUAAGUUACAGCUUCAAAAGAGUUCACUUGUACAGGAAGACAUCUCCA
ensembl:lncRNA